rnacentral:rRNA from 1 species
AGUNACGGCGAGUGAGCGGCAACAGCUCAAAUUUGAAAUCUGGCCUCUAGGGGUCCGAGUUGUAAUUUGUAGAGGAUGUUUCGGGUACCGCUCCGGUUUAAAUUUCUUGGAACAGAAUGUCAAAGAGGGUGAGAAUCCCGUCUUGGACCGGUGGUAGGGCCUAUGUGAAACUCCUUCGACGAGUCGAGUUGUUUGGGAAUGCAGCUCAAAAUGGGUGGUAAAUUUCAUCUAAAGCUAAAUAUUGGCCAGAGACCGAUAGCGCACAAGUAGAGUGAUCGAAAGAUGAAAAGCACUUUGAAAAGAGAGUUAAACAGUAUGUGAAAUUGUUGAAAGGGAAGCGCUGGCAACCAGACUUGUGCGCGGCGGUUCCCCCUUCCUUUUGGUUGGGUUACUCCGCCGUGUCCAGGCCAACAUCGGUUUUGGGGGUCGGUCAAAGGCCUGGGGAAUGUAUCUACUCCUCCGGGGGUAGACUUAUAGCCCAGCGUGUCAUGCGACCUCCCGGGACCGAGGAACGCGCUUCGGCUCGGAUAUUGGCGUAAUGGUUGUCAGCGACCCGUCUUGAA